rnacentral:tRNA from 1 species
GGCUGGCGAGUGGAACGGAUAUAUAAACCACACUGCGCUCAUAACGCAGAGAUAACAGGUUCGACUCCUGUGCUUCAGCCCCCA